UCUCGAUCUGAUUAAACAUUUGAUAUAGACUCUAACAUUAUUUGAUUACGGACAUUGACUCUAACAAUAUGACUUAUAUUUGUGGGUUAUAUUUUGUGGGUUAUUUUUUUAGGACAUAAAUAUUUACCCUAAGCUUCCUUCUUCACUGAAGCUUUUUCGCGAUUCACUUCCCUUUGCAGUUGUUGUUGCUGCUACUUCUGCCUUUGCUCCACCACCGAACCACUUCCCCUUCAAAUAACGUUUCGUUUGCGCAAGGCUCUUCCACUUUAUUCUUAUGGAAAAAGAAGUUUCUUCAAUUAGGCGAAUUCUUACAGGGCAUAUUGGGAUAAGCUCUCCGUAGAAGAGGCAAAGGAAGUUGUGUCAUUCAAGAAUGUGAUGUUGGAGGCAGGAUAAUCCCAGAUAGUGUGAUCUACAGUUAUGGAACUGUUCUUCUGGAUCUUCUAAGUGGCAAGCAUAUUCCUCCAAGCCAUAAAGUUGAAUAUAACUCAAAAUGAUGGUCAAUCACAAGCAAAAGAGCAAUCAAUUGAAAGCUCUACUGAAGUGAACCAAAAUAACAACUCUAUACUUGAAGAAAAUGCACAAUUUGAAGGAGAACAACACAUACAAGAAGAUAGUCAAGUUCAGUCUCAUACUUCUCUUGAAAGUGCAAGUGAAAGUUCAACUAAAGGUAAAAAGAAAACUAGAGGUUAUACACAUAUGCUAGAUGUGUGGGACUUGCCAGAUGGAGAAUUCAUACUUGUUGAAGUAGAUCAUUGGGGCAAUCCUAUGGGUUGGGAAGGGAAAACUCUACUGAAUGCAAUUGAGAGCUUGGUAAAGAGACACCAAUGUGCUCCUAUCAAUUUUCUUAGCUGGAAAGACAUGCCUAAGGACUAUAUUACUGACAUGGUUGAAUUAAUUCAGUUCUGAGUAAGUUUCGAUUUGUUCCUGAAUUAACGGAACAAACAAAGAAAAUAUUGAUUGAUGACAUGAGUCUGAAAUGGAGGUCAUUUAAAUAUGAACUGAAAUCAAAAGGGUAUGAUGAGAGCAAAACUAAGGAGGAAAUGAUUGCUCACAUCCCAGAUCCAAGGGUUGAUCCUUCUUAAUAUCGUGAUUUAGUACAUUAUUGGUGUUCUGAAAAAGGACAGAAAAUAAGCAACAUCAACAAAAGGAGCCGCUCAAAAUAUGAGGACUUGCAUUGCAUGGGAACCAACAAUCUUCCAAGACGGAUUCAUGAGAUGUUAGACAACAAAGGCUAAGGGAGUGCAACCUUCUAGGGCAGAAAUUUAUAUUGACACUCGAACUCAAAAAGAUGGAAGCAUUGUUACUGAAAAGGCUGCUAUUGUAAUUGAUGAACGAAAAAAGAAAAUGGUUGAAGCAGAGAGUUCGCAAAAUUUACAAAGCACCCAAGAUUCUACUAAUUGGACAAAUGAUAUAUAUUCAAAAGUCAAAGGACCUGAAAAAAGAGGACGUGUGCGUUGUCUUGGCAAGCUUCCACAUCAAGCAAGUUCAUCUCAAAGCUCUUAUGCAAACAAUAGAAUUCAAAAGUUGGAGAAUUUGCUUGGAAAUCUUGUAGCUGUGCUUAAAGUACUAUUUGCAGAAGAUCCACAAAUUAAUCAAGUCUUAGAAGCUAUAGAUCAAGAGGUAACUACAAAUGGUUAUACCAGUAAAGAUCAUCAAACUACAAACAAUCUUAACUAGAGCUUUAUAGUGAAGUUAGUAGGUCAUUUGCUAUAAGAUAGAAUGAUGAACUAGAGCAUACUUGACAUUUGCUACACUCUGGUGGCAAUAUGCAAAGAGUUCUAUGGGCUCAUUGGAAAUCAUCAGGUGGCCUUGACCCACUUUGGACAGAGUGUUUUCCUCCUCACCAUCUGCAACUCUAAACCAAAACCUGACCCUAGAUGACACUUCUUGUAUCACCAAGUUCCUAAUUCAAUCUCUUUUUAAAGUCUUUCUGACGGAGUACAAAGUGACUUGCAGCAGUUUGGAUGUGUCGAGUACCAUGUACUCAUUUAUGAAAGUCGCAGGAUUCACCCAUUUGAACUUGGAAGGAACUAUGGAGUAUAGGAUAGUUUAUAAUCAUUGGAAAAAGACUCCAAAAAUUGGAAAUGGAUGGAGGAGUUUUGCACAAUCACAAAAUUUGUAAGCUGGAACUCAAAUAUAAUUUGAGUUCCUAGAUGCAACUUCUAACUUUGUUUUAUUUUGAAUUUGUUUGUAAUUAA